GUAUAUGUCUGCUCAUCUGGCAAUCUUAGGACAUCACUGGAUGGUUUUGUUUAAAAAGAUUACAGAGUUAACACACACUUCCAGCAUGAAGACCAGCCAGUUGCCUCACCUGUCCUGACAUUGUUAAAGUACUUUGUGACAGUGAAAAGACAUGGCUUUAAAUUACUGCAUCAGAGAUCAAUCCAGGUUAUAAAUCUGAGGAAAACAAUAAAGCAUCACUUCGAGCUACUUAUAUCACUGCCUUAAUAAGUUGUCUGCAUGUGUACCUAACAAAGGACAGUGACCAGUUGUACCUAUGAUAUCAGAGGGCAUCCUGAAAAACACUCAUCACUAAGAAUAGAAAACUUCAAAUGACUUUUGUAUCAAUCCUUUUGAAUUUCAUCUGGCUUGGAAUUUCAGUAGCCUUUAGCAUCCUUCAAGCAUUUCAUGAAGUACAUGUACCAAUUUGCAGGUAUAAAAUGUUUGAAACAGAUUGCUUGUCCCAAAUAAAAAAAAAUAAAUUCUCUGCCAAUUAAUAGUGUCAUAAGCAGUUGAUUGAUAUCACAGUUCCACUGGCAUAGUAUUUGUAGUUGAAUUGUGCCAUUUUUUAAGAAAACUUUUCACAAAAACCUGGAAAACAUCAGAUGGAAAGGAGCAUCUACAAGAAAAACAGUGAACACUUUCUUGAAUAUUAACAAUGAUAUGUCAUGUCCAUUUACAUCCUUUAUAUAAACUAAUUAACCAAAUCAUAGAGAAUUAUGUACAAAUUUGUCCUUUUGUGUAUUCAUAGUGUAUUAAAUUGAUUUUACUAAUUUAUAAAUA